UACGGGGGGGGCAAGCGUUGUUCGGAAUUACUGGGCGUAAAGGGCUCGUAGGCGGCCAACUAAGUCAGACGUGAAAUCCCUCGGCUUAACCGGGGAACUGCGUCUGAUACUGGAUGGCUUGAGUUUGGGAGAGGGAUGCGGAAUUCCAGGUGUAGCGGUGAAAUGCGUAGAUAUCUGGAGGAACACCGGUGGCGAAGGCGGCAUCCUGGACCAACACUGACACUGAGACCCGAAAGCGUGGGGAUCAAACAGG
rnacentral:rRNA from 1 species